GUUCUAUAAAGUCAGUCAUGAGCACCACCACACCUUUCACCUUUACCUGCAGCUGCUGCGGACUUUCUUUGUUUUAGUGUGCAGAAACUUGAUAUGAGAUGACCUGAAGAAGAGAUCACCACCAUCAUCCAGAUCAAAGGCAUUUUCUGUAGCAGCUGCAUGCCGCAUCCCACAGCCAUCAUGAAGGCGCUAACAACAGAUAAUAUCUAUGCGUACGCUCUGUCCAAGACACUGACAAGGGUCUCAUCUCCGACAACAGUGGGUCUCUACUCUUCUUGUCAGGAUCAACUGGAUGUGAUUCUCGAUCAAAUUGAAGAUGGAAAGGAUGGGUUUGGAGAGAGAAUACAUCGAUGCAGUAAAAGACAAUAAACUCAAUGGCUCUUCUCUGGUCUUUGGUGAUGUAGAGGAUCUGAAAGCCCUCCUGGGCAUGACAUUUGGGGAAUGGGCAUCUUUUAAACUGCACUUUUUGAGUUUUGUCUCACCUUUCCGGUCACAGUCCAGGAUCAUGCUGCCAUCAACUUCUAAGAACCAGCCAUCGAAGUUCCUUCAACACGCCGCUCAUUAUUACUCAUCUACUCCCAGUCUGUGUUAACAGCUGCAUGUCGGGUAGAAAUUAAGAAGUUCAAAGCUGUUGUUCUGCAGUUUGAGGUAAAAAUAUUCUUUGAACUUUUGGCUGGUUUUGUAUGACUUUAAUAAGCAGGCAGCACUGUGAUAUUUAGUUGUUGAAAUGUCAUGUUUUCAUUACAUCUCAGAUGUAUGAUCCUGGUUUCAAGGAAAUGAGCUAAAAAUCUUUAUUCACCCCAAGAAAAAUUUAUUCAUAGCUGAACUGAAGCUUAAAUAUAGUAAUGGUCCAUUUGAUACUUUAUACAAAGUGUUUUACAAUAGAUGCUUGGAUUUUAAGGCAAUUACAGCUCAUUGCUUUUCUAGAGGGCCUCAUUUUAAGUCCUAAAAUAAAAUAAAGACUGCUUCCCAGUCUACUAUAACUGUUAACUUAAGGUGAGUCAUAUAAUAAUUCAGAACACCUUAUUCAUGAGUGAAACAGUCAGUUUGAAAUUUACUAAAGAGGUUAGCAACCUCAAUAAAGCAUUCUUUAUGUCAGGAGAAGUUAAUUAGUGAAGCAAUAUUUAUGUAUGAGCACAAGACAAUUAUACACCAAGUCUUCCCACAGCAUUAGUGGAUUCAAUCUCAGAGGAUUCUGUUUAUUAACCACAUCCUAUAUGGCAUUUCUAUUGCAUAUUUAACAGUUCAUAGAGAUAAGAAAUAAUGAUGAUUAACCUUAAAACGUUAAAGACAAAAUACUGGUAAUUUAUAAAAAUGAGAAUAAGAUUUAAGCAUUUUUAUUUCAAACAAGUGGCUACAGUCCAGACCAUUAUUUCUGUUUUUUCUCAUGUUCAACAAUGAAAAUUAUUUUAUUUUUAUUUUUAUUUGCAAUGUUUUUAUCUUUCUGUGAAGCACUUUGGUCUCCCUGGUGUUGUUGUAAAGUUCUAUAUGAAUAGACUUUGAUUUGAUUUGAAAAUGGAUAAACAUAUAAAAAUUUAAUUCUUUAUUUCAUGCUAAUAAAAGGCAAACUGGUGAAUUAAAUGUAAACACAAAGUGUUCCACAGUAAAAUCCUCAUUUCAACAAAUCUUAUUUGGUGUAGCCUUGUUCUUAAGCACAUACUGACAUUUAGAAAUAGCCAAAGCAAUGUGAGGAGUUGUUAGUGACAUUUUCACCUCAAAGCUGCUAGAAUAUAAUUUCAUUUGCUCUCAUUCAAACUUUUUUUUUUGCUCUGAAAUGUUAAAAGGUUAAACCAAAACUAUUUAGCAACCCAAAGCCUUUACAGUUAUAAGAAUAUAAAAUCAAAGUCAUAAAGCAUAGAUUAAUGGAUUUCGAAUCAUGUGGUUAUAUGAACACAGAAGCACCUUUGUCAUGUCGUCUAGUAGGGUUACAUGUUUAAGACAACUGUUAGUUUAACAUUAUGAUACAGACACCAUAUAUUCCUUUUUGAUAUUAUAAUACAUAAUACUUUAAAGAUUUGCUCAUAAGCCUAUUUU